rnacentral:lncRNA from 1 species
CUCCAGAUGGCAGAUCAGACAUUCCGAAGGGUUUCAGGUUAUUGACAUGGGAGAAGACGAGUACGAUCCACCCAUCAUCCUUGGGAGACCGUUCCUCAGCACCGUUAAAGCAAUCAUCUACAUUGGAUCCGGAGAAGUCCACAUGCAUUUCCCCUCUGAGAAAGUACGCCGCUAUUUUACUGACCCUGACUAUAUAGUUGAAGACUCUAAGCAGGUCAGGACAAGAAGAAGACGACGCAACUGCAACCAGAGGAGGAAAAUCAUCAAGGACGGAUGGGCGGACUACGAAAGAGAAGUGCACCGAGUCAGGUGUGGAGAAAGAAGAUAGUUAUAUACGAAGAGGAGGCGCCACCGGAAUCACCGACUUCGCCAUCCAGCCAAUCCCAGGACAACAGAGAAUACGGAGAGUCCAGUUUGGAGGACUUAAAAACACCGAACACCUUGCCAAGAGGUAAACUUGGUAGUUAUCUUUUUUCUUUCAAUUAUUUAAAAUAGUUUGCUUAGUUAAUCAGGCUCAUAUCAUCUCGAAAAGAAAAUAGAAAUGUUAAAAAUAGUAAGCCACAUGUGAGUAUGCUCAUGGCGUAAAACCCAUAAGUACAUUCACUGUGGUGGCGUAAAAAUAAAAUAAAUAUAUUCCUGUCCUAUAAAAAUGAAAAUAUAAAAAUAAAUUUAUGAUCCUACCAAAGAGAAUAAUAUUUAUUAGAGGAAGUUCAACAUGAUAACAGCUAAGAGAUUUUAUGCUAACACUUAAUCAGUUCCACAAAGCUUUGUUGUCUAUUUGAGCUCCACAGAAUUCAAGGAUCAAAGAAGACUAGCAGACGGAGGCCAUCCUAAUCGUUGUCAGGGUGCUACCGACAUUAAAAUACACCUCCGCCACCUCUUAGCUACAUCAGGAGAAAUUACGUCAAAAUCCAGCUUGGGGGAGAGCACCCCCAUUUAUCCAGCUAAGUGUUCUACUCAUGUUUAUACUUUACUCAAAUAAUAAAAAGAUACAUAAUCAUAGAAACCCAAAUAAAGAUUCUGUGCUUAUAUAUAUAUAUCUUUACUUAGUUUGCUAAAUAAAUAAAUAAAUAAAGUUUGCUAUGAACCCUCAUGAUAAGCUCUCACAUGGAAAUGAUGAAUAGUUGCUCUGCCAUGACUAGUUCUCAAAAUUGAAAUCUCUCUCAAGUUUAGACAUAACUGUUAUAAUUUAAAGCUUGCUCUAAACCUGAACUUGUGGGAAGAGAACUUGAUCUAAAGUCUAAGUUGUUAACGGAUAUGAUAUGGGCAGGUUGAGCUGCUGUUUAUCUGUUCCUAGAGAUGCUAGAAAACUGGAGAUCUUUAUCUUUGAAAAUAUUUAAAAUAACACAUGAUGAGUUCCUGUAUGAUGAGAGUUUAAAUUCCUACCAUAGCCAUACAUAUGCUUGCUAGACUUUGAGCCACACAUUUAUUUUUUACUGCUUAUGAGUAUUGAGUGUGGUCAAGCUGUGUAGACCCUUAGGAGUUUGUCAUGUGGUUAAAAUCAAGAUUCACUUGCACGUUCACUCACACAUGCUGCUUCUACUCCGGAAGUACACAUCCACAUAUAUCCACCCAUUUCCAUCUCCAGAACCAUCCAAAAAUAUUCUACUCCUAAUCCGGGAGAGAAUAGCCAAAAACAUUCUUCUAUUUCUGUUUUCCCCUGUGAAAUAAAUGCUCAAGUUAUUUCGGUUACUAUCACUUGCUACAUUAUUUCAAGAGAUGAGUGCUCUAAAAAAAAGAGAAAAAAAAGAUACGAGGAAAUAAAAAGGGGCAAGUGCCCGGAACCUCAAAAGAAAAGAAAAAGUGAGACGAGAGGUAAAAAUGGACAAGUGUCCGACAGUAGAAUUAGGGGUACAAGAUACCCACCUGAGAGGAAAGAAAAGAAAAUACAGAGCAUCUCAUUCUCCUCAAAAGAGCAAGAAAGGUAUGUAUCCCCUCAAAAGAGCAAAAGUAGAAUUAGACUUUCACCAUUGUUAUCACCAUCAUCACCAUACACCAUUCAUUCGCCACACAUGCACAUCUUGAUUUGACUUAUUGACUUACUUGCAAUAAAUGUCUUGUAAGUAUGUAUAUUUUAUCUCCCACCUAUGAGCCCCAGAUAUCAAAGCCUUAUUAGAGUAGGAUGAGAGAGAAGACAAUGUCACUAUGCUUCAUACCACAAAUACUACAUAUUUUGAGAGAAGGCAUAUACCAUCACUGCCUUGGUAAGGAUCCAGAAAUACCACAAAAGAGAGAUCUGAGAGAGUCAUACAAGGAAUCUCUGAGUUUUAUUUGAAAAUUUGCAAAAACUCCAGAGCUAUAGUUAAUCGAAGAACAAGAGACAUGGCGCUUGACUAGACCGUUCUAUCUUUUAACUGCUCAAGACACAAGUGACGGUUGCAAGUCCCAUGGUGGAAGGUAAAACAAGUAAGUUUUAAGUCUUGACAGUUUACCCUAACUCAGAGAUGAGAUCUUGUUUGAACGCAUGUGUACCUUUAAGGCAUGAAACCACUACAGAAACUCUUGAGUCUAUCUUUGCUCAGGGACGAGGAAAGGUUAAGCUUGGGGGAGCUUGUUGACGGUCCUUAAUGCUCACAUUUAACCGUCAACUAGUCAUGGAAAAGGAUCCAAAUGCAACCAACACCCAGACUUAGGGUUUUAUCUGACAGAAUUCCACGAGUUUUGGUGUUUGUCUAUUUUUGCAGGGGGUUAUCAUGAAAUACGGAAGAAAGGCCCACACGUCGGGUUUACAUAGAGUUAUUAACGUGCCGUGCAAUUUUCUAUCAUCUAGAAGACUCCAGAAGCCACGGGAAUGAACAGGAAGCCGAGAGGGCUCAGGGACAGGAUGCCCGCCCAAGUCCUUAGGGCGCCCGCCCAGCUACAAUGUCCAAUUCGGACCC